GAUGAACGCUGGCGGCGUGCCUAAUACAUGCAAGUCGAGCGAACGGACGAGAAGCUUGCUUCUCUGAUGUUAGCGGCGGACGGGUGAGUAACACGUGGAUAACCUACCUAUAAGACUGGGAUAACUUCGGGAAACCGUAGCUAAUACCGGAUAAUAUUUUGAACCGCAUGGUUCAAAAGUGAAAGACGGUCUUGCUGUCACUUAUAGAUGGAUCCGCGCUGCAUUAGCUAGUUGGUAAGGUAACGGCUUACCAAGGCAACGAUGCAUAGCCGACCUGAGAGGGUGAUCGGCUACACUGGAACUGAGACACGGUCCAGGCUCCUACGGGAGGCAGCAGUAGGGAAUCUUACGCAAUGGGCGAAAGCCUGACGGAGCAACGCCGCGUGAGUGAUGAAGGUCUUCGGAUCGUAAAACUCUGUUAUUAGGGAAGAACAUAUGUGUAAGUAACUGUGCACAUCUUGACGGUACCUAAUCAGAAAGCCACGGCUAACUACGUG
rnacentral:rRNA from 1 species